UUUCCUUAGUAACGGCGAGUGAACAGGAAAAAGCUCAAAGUUGGAACCUGUUUGGCCUAGCUAAACCGGAUUGUAAACUGUAGAAGUGUUUUCCAGGCAAGCCGGACCGAUAAGUCCUUUGGAACAGGGCAUCAUAGAGGGUGAGAAUCCCGUCUUCGGUCUGAGCAUUUGCCUUUUGCGAUACACUUUCAAAGAGUCAGGUUGUUUGGGAAUGCAGCCUAAAUUGGGUGGUAAAUCUCACCUAAAGCUAAAUAUUGGCGAGAAACCGAUAGCGAACAAGUACCGUGAGGGAAAGAUGAAAAGAACUUUGAAAAGAGAGUUAAACAGUAUGUGAAAUUGUUAAAAGGGAACCGUUUGGAGCCAGACUGGCUUGUCUGUAAUCAGUCUAAGCUUCGGCUUGGAUGCACUUGCAGGCUAUGCCUGCCAACGACAAUUUGGCUUGAGGGAAAAAACUAAGGGAAAUGUGGCCCAUCCUGGGUGUUAUAGUCCCUUAGAAAAUACCUUGGGCUGGAUUGAGGUACGCAGCGAAUGCUAUUUGGCGAGUUGGCUGGGAAUAUUUUCUGAGGUGCUUUGGUACUGAGGUUGAUAUUCCUAGUUACACUUCUAUUCGCUUAGGUUGUUGGCUUAA
rnacentral:rRNA from 1 species